rnacentral:rRNA from 1 species
UACAGAGGGUGCGAGCGUUGUUCGGAAUUAUUGGGCGUAAAGCGCUUGUAGGCGGCUUGUUAAGUUCCGUGUGAAAUCCCCAGGCUUAACCUGGGAAGUGCGCGGAAAACUGGCGAGCUUGAGUGCCGGAGAGGGUCGCGGAAUUCCCGGUGUAGAGGUGAAAUUCGUAGAUAUUCGCAAGAACACCAGUGGCGAAGGCGGCUCACUGGUCCGGUACUGACGCUGAGGUGCGAAAGCGUGGGGAGCAAACAGG